rnacentral:rRNA from 1 species
GUUAAGCGACUAAGCGUACACGGUGGAUGCCCUGGCAGUCAGAGGCGAUGAAGGACGUGCUAAUCUGCGAUAAGCGUCGGUAAGGUGAUAUGAACCGUUAUAACCGGCGAUUUCCGAAUGGGGAAACCCAGUGUGUUUCGACACACUAUCAUUAACUGAAUCCAUAGGUUAAUGAGGCGAACCGGGGGAACUGAAACAUCUAAGUACCCCGAGGAAAAGAAAUCAACCGAGAUUCCCCCAGUAGCGGCGAGCGAACGGGGAGCAGCCCAGAGCCUGAAUCAGUGUGUGUGUUAGUGGAAGCGUCUGGAAAGGCGCGCGAUACAGGGUGACAGCCCCGUACACAAAAAUGCACAUGCUGUGAGCUCGAUGAGUAGGGCGGGACACGUGGUAUCCUGUCUGAAUAUGGGGGGACCAUCCUCCAAGGCUAA